rnacentral:rRNA from 1 species
UACGAAGGGGGCUAGCGUUGCUCGGAAUUACUGGGCGUAAAGCGCACGUAGGCGGCUUUCUAAGUCGGGGGUGGAAUCCUGGAGCUCAACUCCAGAACUGCCUUCGAUACUGGAGAGCUCGAGUCCGGGAGAGGUGAGUGGAACUGCGAGUGUAGAGGUGAAAUGCGUAGAUAUCUGGAAGAACACCGGUGGCGAAGGCGGUCAACUGGCCCUCAACUGACGCUGAGGCACGAAAGCGUGGGGAUCAAACAGG